CCACCACUUCCUCUCAGUUUCUCUCUCUCAAUCUCUCUACCCAGACAACCAAGUAAACAAAAUGCAUAGAUCCAAAAUUCCAAAUCUAAGAAGCGAGUUUCGCUUAUAUUUGGUAUCUCGUAAAAGAGGAAAUCGCCGAAGACUGAAUUUUCUUUAUCGUAAAAGAAGAAAAAAACCCAAUUUUUGUUUUCAUUUUUUGUUAAAAGUAAUUGAUUUAAGGGUUUGUUAGUUUUUAAUUAAUUUCUAUGAUUUUUUUUAUUAGUAGAUUGAAUUCAAUUAAUUUUUAUGGGACUUUUGAUUCAUUUUAAGAUUUCUUGCAAGUUUGUUGAAUUCAUUGACCACCAUCUGUAUAAACAGAACUCUGAAAAAUGCCUGCAAUUUGUAAGCUGUGAAAAUGCCCUUUUAUAUGGAGGAUUAAUAAUAUUUGAGACAUGGGAUUUUAAUCAACACCUUUUGGGCAAGAACCUAAUCAAAAUUGAUUGACUAUUUGCUCAUUUGUGAAUUAAGGUAUAGGGGUUAUGAUGAUAAGAGAUACGUUUUGUCAAGUAGCUUUAGAAAAAUGUUACAGAUAAUGCUCGUUUUGUUUGUUCUUGUUUGCAUACUAGAGGCAAGGGUUACUCUGAUGCAAUGCUAGUUCAGCAGUAUUUUACCUGUACAAUUGUUUGUUAUCUAUAUUUUCAUUGUGCUUAUUGGAUCUUUUUUAGCAUAUUUUCAUAAACUUGACAAAUUUAUGUACUGCAGUCACAUCAACAGGACGUAAACGCAUAUCCUUCUUUCGAACCAGCUGCUGAAUGCCGUGCCGUUAUAUUAACAGAUCCUGGUACUGGUUUAAAGAUUGCUGGCAGCACUCAUUGGGGAAGGCAGAAGUAUUUUGAAGCUCUUAACAUAGACCCUCACUAUGCUGUAUUAUCUCUUUCCUCUGUAGCACGUGUUCUCUUUCUAUUGGUUUGUAUUUAUGCUCUAAGCUGUCGCAACAAUGCUGGACAACAACGUCCUAUGUAUGCUGAAGCAUAUUGUAACAUGGGUGUAAUUUAUAAGAACCGUGGAAAUCUGGAGUUGGCUAUUCCUUGCUAUGAAAGGUGUUUGGUUGUGUCUCCGAACUUUGAUAUUGCAAAGAAUAACAUGGCAAUAGCCUUGACAGGCCUAGGAACAGAGACAUUAUUCAGUGAGCUUUGCAAAUUGUACGAUACAUAAGCCAGAACUUGUUGUGUUUGUUCUGGAUAGAAGGAUUGGAAAAGAUGCUUCUUUUCAAGCUCAAGCCGUUGCUGAAGUUGCAGAAGCUCAUCCGGUUAUUGUUAAGGGUGCAGCCAAGGGAGUUAGUGCACUUAGUGAGUAACUGUAAGAACCAUGUCAGUGGAGAUUAUGCCUGCAACAAAAGCAAUUGCUUCAUUUAAGCUGCCCACUUCAACUCUGGCAAGGUCUGAUAAGGGACAUACUAUAACUGCUCAUAUGUGCCGUCUUGAUGCUUUGAAGAGGACUUCUGGUGUGGCAGAGGUCUGCAGGAAGUUCUCCACUAAUGAGAAUACCAUCACAGUAGGAGGUUUGUAUGCAGUUGAUCCCUUCACAUCUGCGAAGUACAGGCUCAGCAACCGUGGGAAGUUUGCUGCUCUCAUGCUACACGAGCUCAAACUCAAGUCCUCGUGACACUCACUGGUGAGUUUGACACCAAGGCCUUGGAUAAGGCUCCCAGGUUCAGAUUGUCCCUUGCUUUCAAGCCUUGAGUGAUCGUCUUCUGAAUAUUCGUUGUCCGGAAGUCAUCUUACGCUGCUGGGAUUCGUUGACCUUGUCUAUUGUUUGUGAUCUAUUACGAAUACUGAUUUAAUGUAAAGAAGUGAAUUCCAUUUCGAGGAAGAAAAUUUAUAUAUAA